ACGGAGGAUCCAAGCGUUAUCCGGAAUCAUUGGGUUUAAAGGGUCCGUAGGCGGCUUUAUAAGUCAGUGGUGAAAUCCCUUCGCUCAACGAAGGAACUGCCAUUGAUACUGUAAGGCUUGAAUUUUUGUGAAGUAACUAGAAUAUGUAGUGUAGCGGUGAAAUGCUUAGAGAUUACAUGGAAUACCAAUUGCGAAGGCAGGUUACUAACAAACAAUUGACGCUGAUGGACGAAAGCGUGGGUAGCGAACAGG
rnacentral:rRNA from 1 species